AGGGGCGGCGCCAAGCGGUAAGGCAGCAGGUUUUGAUCCUGCCAUGCGUUGGUUCGAAUCCAGCCGCCCCUGCCA
rnacentral:tRNA from 1 species